CUGUAUGAAGCCGGAAUUGCUAGUAAUGGCAGGUCAGCAUACUGCCGUGAAUACGUUCCCGGGCCUUGUACACACCGCCCGUCACACCAUGAGAGUUGGGGAUACCCAAAGCCCGUGAGCCAACUUUUAGAGGCAGCGGUCUAAGGUAGAAUCAAUGAUUGGGGUGAAGUCGUAACAAGGUAAC
rnacentral:rRNA from 1 species